rnacentral:lncRNA from 1 species
CACACACACACACACACACACACACACACACACCCAUAAUACAAGCUCUUGCAACUGGUGUUGGUUGCCUACCAGAACUCCACAGUAAAGGCGAGACCCGAUUCCCGAAGACAUUACACUUUGGUUGCAGGACAUGAAAACAUCAAGUUGGUACUGCCCUGGAAGCUCUCCCAGUCACGGCCACUGGAGUCAGGGAGCAUCCCAGGGAGUAUGAACCCUGGGAGCUACACUAAUGACUAGGAUGCUGAGAUAUAUUAAAAAUGAAUAUUUUAAAUCAGAGCGCCAUUUAAAAUGCUCUUCAGGAGGAAAUCUCUACCCCUUAUCAGGAGGUUUGCUUUCCGUAUAGAACUACACUGCCCUUGUCAGUUCCAACACCGUACCUUGCAUUUCAUUCCAUUUUGUAAAACUUUUCCCUUCCAUCCAAGUACUAACCAGACCCGAUCCUGCUUCCCUUCUGAGAGUAUUUGGGGUGCUGUAUGACUUCUUAAGUGGUUUGCACACUUCUCAUUUUGUCGUAAAGAUCCUGAGAAGCAUCCUUCACCCCAGGACUACUGAGUCUUCGCUGGGUAGCAACUUCUCAGCUGGCCUAGCAACUCAGACAUUGCCAUAUCCUGUUAUUUCCCCUUGUGGAGAAUCAGAAAGCUGUAACUGACUUCAGGGGUCAGUGUGGCUCUAGUGAUGCCCAAUUAACUCUAAAAAGAGAGUUUGAAACUUGCUGCGGAGCAUUUUGUCUUUCUCAUCAAGAGUGCAACACACAAUUGGUCCACAGUCUUAAAGAUUUAUUUAUACAUGAGUGUGCUAUAGCUGUCUUCAGACACACCAGAAGAGGGCAUCAGAUCCCAUUACAGAUGGCUAUGAGUCAUCAUGCGGUUGCUGGGAAUUGAACUCGGGACCUCUGGGAGAGUAGUCAGUGCUCUUAACCGCUGAGCCAUCUCUCCAGCCCCAGACCACAGUCUUAAACCCACCCUGUGUACUUGAUGCCCGUUCCCGUGGGUCUGCUUCAAGCCCAGGCCCUUCUCUUGGAGCUGCGUGGCCUCAGUCUUGCCUGUGUUGUCCCACGCCUGAUCUUGAAGUAGUUUGGGCCUCCUGUGUCACAUUCCCGCGGAAUACAUAUUGGACAGCCCAGGGGAAGAGACCCCACGUCUCCUGCUUUCAUCAUGAACAGAGCUCGGCAGAGAACCCUUCGCUGCUCCAGCUGAGCGGAAGCUGCAGAAGCUGCGGUCUUGACAGACCACCCAGAUGGCUUGGAUAAUUUGAUAAUGCUUGGGGGGAAGCUGCACAAAGGAAAGGCCUUCACCCACACAUUAAGUGCUGACCUAGGCUAGACCUGCCUCUGCCCGGAAAGUGAGUCAUUGUGGGUUUCUGUGGUAUUCCGCGGCACUGAGGCAAACACAUGUCCCGGCCAAGCCCUAGUGACACAGGUAAAGUGGAAAGCAAGGGAAAGGAGCCUCCUGCAGCCGGAUUCUCACUCCUUCCUAGCUUCCUGUUUUGUCUUGUGCUGUGACGUUAGGGGCUGUUAGUUUCUGUUUUCUUUUAUAAUAUGAAUCUUGGAGCAGAGCUAUUUCAGGAUCGAGAUUGCCUUUGGUGUACUAACCAGAACCCCUCAGCGGCAGGUGUUUCCUCCGUCAGCCAUAGAUUCGGUUCUCAAAAGGCCACAAGGCCACUGAACCCGAUGUGGGUAGAACAUCUUGGGAACACUGGCUUCUGGGAUUUGCACAUAAAUCCUCCUCCCUCCCGCUGCUCCGGCCUCCGGCCAGUGUGGCUUCUUCUGAGAAUACAUCUUUAAUUUUUUAAUUUUUAAUUCUCGUUUUACUUUAUGUGUAUGGGCACUUAGCCUGCGUGGUGCAUGGCUUUCUGUGCACAGGUUGUGUGCAGUGCCUGUAGAGGGCAGAAGAGGGUGUCGGACCCUCCUGGAACUGGGGCUACAAACAAGGGUGGGCUGCCAUGUGGAGGCUAGGAGUGAACCUAGGUCCUUUAGAAGGUCAGGCAGUGCUCUUAACCACAGAGAUAGCUCUCCAGCCUCCACCCUCCUAUGACUUCUUGAGAUGACUUCUGGAGGUAAACCAUGCCUCCUGCUCUUUGGCCUUAGCCCUCAGACUUCAUUUCUUUUGUUGUUGUUGUUGUUUUGUUUGUUUGUUUUCUUUUUUGUUUUGUUUUGUUUUCGAGACAGAGUUUCUCUGUAUAGGACAUGCCCUGGCUGUCCUGGAACUCACUUUGUAGACCAGGCUGGCCUCGAACUCAGAAAUCCACCUGCCUCUGCCUUUUGAGUGCUGGGAUUUAAGGCGUGCACCACCGCUGCUGCCACCGCCGCCACCACCCGGUGUCAGAGAGGAGAUGUUGACCCAGGAGACAUCCAACAUCCGUUUCCUCCAACAGUUACUCUCAAAAGCAGAGCCUUUGUCUCUACCAUCAGCCCACUGGAGGUACCUUGCCAAGGGAGAAAGGGAAGGAGGACUGUCAUUCUUCCAGGCCAGAAGAGAAUUCCCCUGGGCUGGGGUCAUGCCAUUGGAAAAGGAAGCUUUGCGCCUUGGUUCAGCAUCCUUGUUUCUAGAAGCAAAAUGAACAGCAGUGUUAAUCCAGGACUUAGGGUUCUCACAGGGAUGCUGUCUAAGAUAGCCUAGACCAGCAGUCUCCCUUUGGGAAACAGAACGACCCUUUCACAGGGGUCACCUAAGGCCAUCAAAAAAACAAACAAACAAACAGUGUUUACAUUAUGACUCAUAACAGUAGCAAAAUUACAGUUAUGAAGUAGCAACAAAAUAUAUUUUAUGAUUGGAGGGCCACAACAUGAGGAACAGUAUUAAAGGGUCUCAGUGGGGGCUGGAAAAAUGGCUCAGUGGUUAAAAGUACUGACUGCUCUUUCAGAGGUCCUGAGUUCAAAUCCCAGCAACCACAUGGUGGCUCACAACCAUCUGUAAUGGGAAUCCGAUGCCCUCUUUUGGCAUACAGACAUACAUGUAGACAGAGCACUCAUACAUAAAAUAAAUAAAUCUU